rnacentral:rRNA from 1 species
UCGAACGAUGAUGCUGGUGCUUGCACUGGUGGAUUAGUGGCGAACGGGUGAGUAACACGUGAGUAACCUGCCCCUGACUUCGGGAUAAGCCCGGGAAACUGGGUCUAAUACCGGAUAUGACUUCCUGCUGCAUGGCAGGGGGUGGAAAGAUUUAUCGGUUGGGGAUGGACUCGCGGCCUAUCAGCUUGUUGGUGAGGUAAUGGCUCACCAAGGCGACGACGGGUAGCCGGCCUGAGAGGGUGACCGGCCACACUGGGACUGAGACACGGCCCAGACUCCUACGGGAGGCAGCAGUGGGGAAUAUUGCACAAUGGGCGAAAGCCUGAUGCAGCGACGCCGCGUGAGGGAUGACGGCCUUCGGGUUGUAAACCUCUUUCAGUAGGGAAGAAGCCCCUUUUGGGGGGUGACGGUACUUGCAGAAGAAGCGCCGGCUAACUACGUGCCAGCAGCCGCGGUAAUACGUAGGGCGCAAGCGUUAUCCGGAAUUAUUGGGCGUAAAGAGCUCGUAGGCGGUUUGUCGCGUCUGCCGUGAAAGUCCGAGGCUCAACCUCGGAUCUGCGGUGGGUACGGGCAGACUAGAGUGAUGUAGGGGAGACUGGAAUUCCUGGUGUAGCGGUGAAAUGCGCAGAUAUCAGGAGGAACACCGAUGGCGAAGGCAGGUCUCUGGGCAUUUACUGACGCUGAGGAGCGAAAGCAUGGGGAGCGAACAGGAUUAGAUACCCUGGUAGUCCAUGCCGUAAACGUUGGGCACUAGGUGUGGGGGACAUUCCACGUUUUCCGCGCCGUAGCUAACGCAUUAAG